AGAUGUGAGAGUGAUCUGGCUGACAUCCGUCACCCCAUUGAUUGCCAGGGUUGAUUCGGCUGAUCUGGGUGACUAGGUGGGUGUCUUCCUUCCUCCUUCAAUGCUCCGUGUGCAUCCCUACCUCCAGUUCUGUGCUCAGUAGAAGAGGAUAACCUUCCCCGAUAGAAAAAGGCUAGUCUUCAGUCAAGGGAAUACAGAGUAUCUGCCCUCCCCUACUAGAACCUCCAAGAAAGCUCUGAAAUUUCAUGCAGUUUUUUUUUGCUCAGACAGAAAAGGAAAGUGCUUCCACAUUAGACUUCUCAUCUGCAGAACACAUGUUGGAGGACAUC
rnacentral:snRNA from 1 species